rnacentral:rRNA from 1 species
AUGAAGAGACUUUUGAGGGGCUCGUCGAGCCGAAGCUCUAAGGAAAAACAAAAGGAAGAAGAGGAGAAGCCCAAAUUUAAUUUACCUCGCACCACGGAGGUCCGGCCUUGUGAAUGGCCUUCCGAUGACUUCUUGAGGAGAGCUGGGAUUCAUGAAGAUUUCUAUUUAUUGAUUGAGAAUGCUGGCCUCACCAACUUCCUCCAUGACCAAUGUCAUCAGUAUCUCUUACUCACAAAUACUUUUGUGCAAAACUUCUACUUUUUCCCUAAGAAAUCACCUCCAACAAUAGAGUUUCAUUAUAUGACGUUGCUAAAGAGAUGA